AAGACUUGAAAUAUUUACUGGGAUAUGAGUUUAAUAGAUCCAACAGUACAGUACAGUACAGUACAGGGCUAAACGCAAGGAUUUAAAUGAGAAUAAAGUAAUGAUGCUCUGUUCCACUGUGGAUCCUGAAGGAGAUGAACACGCAGCCCCAGACCAUACCUAACCCCUGAUGGAUGGUGAAUGAGGGCAGAGUGUCCAGUUGUUGUUUUUAAUAUUGUGACUGAAGGAUAGAAGAGAGAACAGAGGAAAGAAAAUUGCCUUAAAUAAACCAGGACUGUAUAACAGUUCAGUAACAAUGCUUGGAUCGGGGGAAUGUGGGGAUUUGGGGAAGGAUGGAGGAGCUGAACACACAGCGCCAUCUAAUGCUGGAUUCCUAACAUGGUUCUGUGGGUCUGGGCAGAGGAUCAUUAUUGUAGGAUAAAGCGCACAAAAUAGGGUAGGUGGCGGUACUGCGCCAUUAACAACAAGAAGAAGAAGGAGAAGAAGAGAAAGCACUGGCAGAACAGCAUACACAGUCCUCGCUCUACUCACUACCUAUCGAACGGUGUGCAGAAGCUAUUGAGGACGUCAGAGUUGUGGAGGUGAACACACACAGUUGAAAGGUGUGUUAACUCUUCGGGCCCGUGAGCAUCGCCUGCGAGUUUCAGCAUGGUCAGGUUCACUAGUGUCCUCUUUCUCUCUUUACAGCAUGAAGGGAUUUGAUCUUACACACACACACAUACACACACACAACUGAAACACUGAGAGAACCUGUAGAGUCUCAGCUUUCAGACGAUCUCACACGUGGAGAACAUGAGCAUUUUAUAUAAUCUCUAAAUUGUAGAGAAGUUGCAGUUUGUGCUGUGGUGAAAAGUGAAAGUAAAGUGAAACGUGGUCUCCUCCUGUUCACAUAUUAAUGACAUGUUAAUGUCUUUCAGGAGCAGGAGUGAUGUCACGAGUGUGUGUUGGGUGUAAAUCAGGACAGGUACACGCUGAUGGAACACUCAGGUAGACUUUUGCACAGGAACCUUCUUGUGUUUUUACAGUAAUUCUAGUAAAUUGUGUACUGACUUAUGAUUGUGCACUAAAUCCCUACAAUACUACAUGUUCCUUUUAUUCUGAUCAUGUUAAUGUGCUGAAAUAAGUGAAUGUGUGUGUCCUACAAUAAAGUGAUCAAAUGUG